rnacentral:rRNA from 1 species
UACGUAGGAGGCGAGCGUUGUCCGGAGUUACUGGGCGUAAAGGGUGCGCAGGCGGCGGUUCGCGUGGAUAGAUGAAAUCUCCUGGCUUACCUGGGAGGAUGGUAUCCAGACGGGAUCGCUUGAGGGUCGGAGAGGGGCGUGGAAUUCCGGGUGGAGCGGUGAAAUGCGUAGAGAUCCGGAGGAACACCGACGGCGAGGCAGCGCCCUGGGACGACACCUGACGCUGAGGCACGAAAAGCUGGGGGGAGCGAACAGG